ensembl:Y_RNA Y_RNA Y RNA
GGCUGGUCUGAUGGUAGUGGGUUACCCAAGCUUAUUAACAUUAGUGUCACUAAAGUUGGUAUACAAUCCCCCACUGCUAAAUUUGACUGGCUUUAA